UUCCGUAGGUGACCUGCGGAAGGAUCAUUAAAAGUAAAUCUGUAUUCUCUCGAAUAUACAUUUCAAACCCACCCUGCGUACGUUACCCGUUGCUUCCGCGAGGCAGUGAUCUCGGUCACCUCCAGACGAUGGCGAAGGCCAUCCGACGGGGAGCACUCGCGAAAGGUUUACACCAAACCCUUGCAAUUUCAUGCCAUCUGUCUGAACCUGUUUAAAACAAAUGUUAAAACUUUCAACAACGGAUCUCUUGGUUCUCGCAUCGAUGAAGAACGCAGCGAAAUGCGAUAAGUAGUGUGAAUUGCAGAAUUCAGUGAAUCAUCGAAUCUUUGAACGCACAUUGCGCCUCCUGGUAUUCCGGGAGGCAUGCCUGUUCGAGCGUCAUUAAAAACCACUCAGGCCACUUUUGUUGGCUUGGUAUUGGGAGAGGAGUGCACCUGCUGCCCUCCCUUCCGAAAUUCAAUGGCGGAAAGCCCCACGUGCCCCGGCGUAGUAAGAUUUUCUUUCGCCCGGAACCUGAGGUGAUCCUGCCGCGAACCCCCAUUUCUUUA
rnacentral:rRNA from 1 species